GGUGCACGGGUCGCCAUGUUGGGUUAGGGCAGCUGCUUUGGCUGCUUACCCGGAACCCUCUCAAUCUAUUGACUCGACCCGAAUGCCGAGUCUUGGUUCCACACCCACUCCUCCCGACGCCCGGACUCGUAGAGCAGCAUUUCUGGUGCCACCCUAUAGCCAGUAGGAUGGGCGGCGGGAGCACGGAUCAGAAGCGGUUCCUUGUUUUGAACUACCACGUGGAUUGCCGAGCCAAUCAAGGGGAACGUCCACUUUGAUUCGCCGGCUUGCUCAGACCCCGCUUUAACCUGGGUCAGACGGCAGAACCUCUUAAACGAAAGGCUCUCGGCCUGCCUAGUCGUUUCCCGUCCUGGGCCUCUGAGGACCUCGCGGCAAGGCUGCGAGCAGAGGCGUUGGUCUACCUUCCAAAUGGAGGCCAUGGGAUCUUGGGAGGUUUUGUUCUCCACUCUUGGAGACACGAGGAUGGGAACUGGAGACAUUACCGCCUGGACUGCCCUAAUGCUAAGUGCAAGGGCUUUGGCCACUCGCCCUGGAAGGCGGAAUAUGGAGAGCGGCCGACUGACUAAGUGCAGAAAAGUAUCUGGAGCUAAAAGGGCUUGGAGCCCGGCGACAAGGGUUUGAGAGGGGCACUUAUGCUCCCAUUCAGUGAAAUCAGUGGAUCAAUAUCAGUGGAGAAGGGAGAUGUCUGCAUGUGAUGACUGGCUGCCUCCGUGGACUGAGGUUCAGACGUGCCUGGAAACAAACCUAAAGCUGCCCUACCUAAGAAUCACAUCCCAAGCUAGACUUGACCCUCAUACCUGUGAACCCAGACGGUCCAGAAACAAGCUUACCAGUGAGUCUGGGCUCAGGAACAGGUGUGUGUGCCCUUGGUGCUGGGGCUAUUGGAUUGGCCUACCUACAUCCUCAACAGUCUCCACUCUGCCUGAAUGAUCCUGAGGGUAUCAGAAAGCCCUACACUGUUGGUACCUGGGCCCCAACAUACUGUGAACGGAAAUGGGCCUUCUUUCUUUUCCUAUAGGUUAUUUGCUGGCAGUUCUAUUAAACUUGUUUCUAAG
ensembl:antisense 4930524O07Rik RIKEN cDNA 4930524O07 gene